UACGUAGAAGACUAGUGUUAUUCAUCUUUAAUAGGUUUAAAGGGUACCUAGACGGUAUAAUUAGUCUUAAACAGGAUACGAUUAUACUAGAGUUAUAUAUGAGGAGGUGAGUAUUUAUGCAGUAGAGUUGAAAUUCGUUGAUAGCAUAACGAACUGGUAACGGCGAAAGCAACCUUUUAUCUAAUAACUGACGUUGAGGGACGAAGGCUUGGGUAACGAACAGG
rnacentral:rRNA from 1 species